UAGAUGCUUGGAGAUUAGUAUGCAACUCGGAAGUAGAUAAUACUACGUUGUUCAAUCUGAGAUGGAGAACAUUCAUAGUGAAUCCGAUUGUUUUUACCGAGCCUUGCAAGCCUAAUAUUAUGAACUUUCAGGUACGACGAGAGAUUGUUGCAACUCCUUCACCUUCUGCUUGGGAAAAACAGGAUCCAAGCCAGUGGCUUGCCUUUAAAGAAGUACGCGGUUGCCGAGUUUCUGGCAGUGGCAUGGUUAAUGGAGAAGGCUUUGGUUGAUUGGUGGAAUCAAUCAUGUAUAAUAUACCAACCAUGCCGCCAGGAAUUCAGAAUCUAGGAAAUACAUGCUUCGUUAAUUCUCUUUGACAGGCAUUGGCGAGUUGCAGACUGAAUUGGCAACUUCCUAGCUCUUGUACAUGUGUUCCACGAGAUUGUUUAUACAUUCAAUUUGGUGAGACGAUUGAGAAGAUUCUCAAUCAUACUGCAGGACCUAUUAGACCAAGCAGUAUUAUUCAUCUUUUACCUGUAAAUCACAUACUCAAUGCCAAUCAUUCAACUGGUUUGCAUGAACAUAGCAUUUCAUAUGUGUGCUUGAGUUAUCUUAGAUCAUGGAGCUAUCAACAACAUCAUCAAUGACAGUUCUCAGGCUUUCCUAGAUGCUUGGAGAUUAGUAUGCAACUCGGAAGUAGAUAAUACUACGUUGUUCGUUCCGAGAUGGAGAACAUUCAUAGUGAAUCCGAUUGUUUUUACCGAGCCUUGCAAGCCUAAUAUUAUCAACUUUCAGGUACUACGAGAGAUUGUUGCAACUCCUUCACCUUCUGCUUGGGAAAAACAGUAUCCAAGCCAGUGGCUUGCCUUUAAAGAAGUACGCGGUUGCCGAGUUUCUGGCAGUGGCGUGGUUAAUGGACAAGGCUCUGGUUGAUUGGUGGAAUCAAUCAUGUAAAUAUCAUCCUAGCAUGGUAAUUGAUUAAUUAUAAACACAAGAAAAGUAUACCAAACGUUGAAAUUAGUUUAUAGCUAUGUUACUUGGACUCUCUUCAUUUUCUCUUAAGUAGUUGUGUCGGAUUCUAGACACUUCGACACUUUUAUUUUGGCCAAAAUCAUGAAAAUAUUUUUCUAAAUAGCCAAGUCAUAUACAUGGACAUGGUGUGUCAAACUUGAGCAUCAAGUUCGAGUAACAUAAGUCAAUACUCCG